GUAGGUGAACCUGCGGAAGGAUCAUUAAAAAUCCAUAACAACCCGUUGAAACGUUUGCCUUUCCUUGAGAAAGGACCCUUGGUCUCGAUUAAAUCACUUUAUGAGAGACCAUGGAGGAAGGAAUGAAACCGACCAGGACGUCAUUGCCAUGCUCCCUUACUUAGGUAGGGAUAUAUGGGACAAUGGCGAACACGGCUGGAAUCUUUUCGACCUUAAUGAGCCAAUUGGUUUGGGAACCGUUUGGCUCUUGGUCCUGUACCAAGGAGAGUGCGCUAGUCAUAUUAUUAGACAUUUGUAUUUGGGUUCUGGGGGGAAUACAACUUUUAACAAUGGAUCUCUAGGCUCUU
rnacentral:misc_RNA from 1 species